GUUUCAGCAGCCGCGGUAAUACGGGGGGGGCAAGCGUUGUUCGGAAUUACUGGGCGUAAAGGGCUCGUAGGCGGCCAACUAAGUCAAACGUGAAAUCCCUCGGCUUAACCGGGGAACUGCGCUUGAUACUGGAUGGCUUGAGAUUGGGAGAGGGAUGCGGAAUUCCAGGUGUAGCGGUGAAAUGCGUAGAUAUCUGGAGGAACACCGGUGGCGAAGGCGGCAUCCUGGACCAACACUGACGCUGAGGAGCGAAAGCCAGGGGAGCAAACGGGAUUAGAAACCCUCGUAGUCC
rnacentral:rRNA from 1 species